rnacentral:rRNA from 1 species
GCUUGACUGUAGCUUGUAAUUGGGUUCGGGCUUUUUUUGCGCAGCCUAGGUGGGAGGCAACGAUGAUUUUUUUCCGGAAAAAUUUGAGCCGUUAGUGAGAGACCACUCUGAAAAGGCUAGAAUCCUAAUAAUGAUCCUUGAAUCAGGACACUUGACAGUUUCAGGUGGGCAGUUUGACUGGGGCGGUCGCCUCCUAAAAGGUAACGGAGGUGCGCAAAGGUUCCCUCAAGCUGGACGGAAAUCAGCUGUAAGAGUGUAAAGGCAUAAAGGGAGCUUGACUGCAAGACCUACAAGUCGAGCAGGGGCGAAAGCCGGCCUUAGUGAUCCGACGGUACCGCGUGGAAGGGCCGUCGCUCAACGGAUAGAAGUUA